rnacentral:sRNA from 1 species
ACUCAUGUCUAUUGUCAGAGCACUAUGCUGGAUACAAAUAGUUGGAUUUUUGCUUGCAUAAACAGCACUUCUAUGUGCCUGCAAGGGGUUGAUUUAUCAUGGAAAGCUGAACUGCUGCCAACAAUUAAGUAUCUGACCUUAAGACUUCAAGACUAUCCAUCUUUGUCUCACCUUGUUGUUUAUGUACCAUCUGUUCAUGGAAGUAAGCUCAAGUGAGAGGUAAUUCAGCAUCUUCAAUACUAAAAGCUCUCUUAAAGGGUUUUUCUGGCAGUUUGUUGUAGAUUGUGAAUUCUUUAAAAAAGAGAAAAGAUACGUACAGCUUCCUGUAACUCAUCUUUUUUCCUUUGGAUUGUCUUCAAGGAAAGUGGUGUUAAAUACAAAUGGCCUAUACUACAAUCUAGAGCUUCUGAACUUUGGACAGAUAUACCAAGCUUUUAAAAUCAACGUGGUAAGCAAGUGCUCAGCAGUCAAAGAAGAAAUAACCAAUAUCUAUAGACUUCAUAUUCCUUGGUCUUAUGAAGAUUCACUAACCAUUGCACA